UCAAGUCUUAGGAUGAGCUGGCCAGCA
rnacentral:piRNA from 1 species